CAAGCCUGAACGAGCAAUGCCGCGUGAACGAGGAAGGUCUUCGGAUCGUAAAGUUCUGUUGAAGGGGAAAAAGGAAGCGGAGAGAGGAAAUGGUCUCCGAUUGAUAUUACCCUUCGAGGAAGUCACGGCUAACUACGUGCC
rnacentral:rRNA from 1 species